rnacentral:rRNA from 2 species
CCUUGAGGAGUGGCUUCCGGAGCUAACGCGUUAAGUCGACCGCCUGGGGAGUACGGCCGCAAGGUUAAAACUCAAAUGAAUUGACGGGGGCCCGCACAAGCGGUGGAGCAUGUGGUUUAAUUCGAUGCAACGCGAAGAACCUUACCUACUCUUGACAUCCACGGAAUUCGGCAGAGAUGCCUUAGUGCCUUCGGGAACCGUGAGACAGGUGCUGCAUGGCUGUCGUCAGCUCGUGUUGUGAAAUGUUGGGUUAAGUCCCGCAACGAGCGCAACCCUUAUCCUUUGUUGCCAGCGAUUCGGUCGGGAACUCAAAGGAGACUGCCGGUGAUAAACCGGAGGAAGGUGGGGAUGACGUCAAGUCAUCAUGGCCCUUACGAGUAGGGCUACACACGUGCUACAAUGGCGCAUACAAAGAGAAGCGACCUCGCGAGAGCAAGCGGACCUCAUAAAGUGCGUCGUAGUCCGGAUCGGAGUCUGCAACUCGACUCCGUGAAGUCGGAAUCGCUAGUAAUCGUGGAUCAGAAUGCCACGGUGAAUACGUUCCCGGGCCUUGUACACACCGCCCGUCACACCAUGGGAGUGGGU